CGGAUGUAGCCAAGUGGAUCAAGGCAGUGGAUUGUGAANCC
rnacentral:tRNA from 1 species